rnacentral:rRNA from 1 species
UACGGAGGGUGCAAGCGUUAUCCGGAUUCACUGGGGUUAAAGGGUGCGUAGGUGGGUUGGUAAGUCAGUGGUGAAAUCUCCGUGCUUAACAUGGAAACUGCCAUUGAUACUACUGAUCUUGAAUUUUCAGGGGGUAAGCGGAAUAUGUCAUGUAGCGGUGAAAUGCUUAGAUAUGACAUAGAACACCAAUUGCGAAGGCAGCUUACUACAGGAAUAUUGACACUGAUGCACGAAAGCGUGGGGAUCAAACAGG